CAAAAUCCAUGGGUUGAGACCCAAGCCCCUGGAUGAUGGUGUUAGGAGGUGGGGCCUCUGGGGGGUGAUAAGGUUGUGAGAGAGGAGCCCUCAUGAAUGGGAUCUGUGUCCUUAUAAAAGGGACCAGGAGAGCUCCUGCGCCCCUGCCCCCUGGGGCCACAGGGAGAAGUCGGCAGCCUGCAGCCUGGAAGAGGGCCCUCGCCAGAACCCACCCUGCUGACACCCUGAUCUGGCACUUCCAGCCUCCGGAACCAGAGAGAGGAAGUCCCCUGGUUGACGAGCCCGCGUCUGUGCACUUGUUACAGCGGCGGGACCAGCUGAGACACAGGUCAUGAGCCUCUGGAGGGUCGGCUUGUAAUGGAAUUCCCUCUGGCUGCCGUGGGCGGGCUGUCUGGAAGAGCUUCCUGGGAUGAUGGGCAUGUUCUGUGUCUGGUGCUCUGUGACACAGCAGCCAGCAGCCCCCGGCAGCUGUGGACGACCGAGGAAUGGAAUCUUAAAUUUGAUUUACUUUUAAUUAAUAAUUUAAAUGGCCCUCUGUGGCUUGGGGCUGCCGUAUUGGACAGCACCGUUG
rnacentral:lncRNA from 1 species